rnacentral:rRNA from 1 species
CGGGCGAGUAACGCGUGGAUAAGCUACUCUAUAAGACUGGGCUAAGUUCGGGAAUCCGGAGAUUAUACCGGAUAAUAUUUUGAAGCCGCAUGGUUCAAAAAGUGAAAGACGAUAGUGGCUGUCACUUAUAGAUGGAUCCGCGUUGCAUUAGUCUAGUUGGUAAGGUAACGGCUUACCAAGGCAACGAUGCAUAGCCGACCUGAGAGGGUGAUCGGCCACACUGGAACUGAGACACGGUCCAGACUCCUACGGGAGGCAGCAGUAGGGAAUCUUCCGCAAUGGGCGAAAGCCUGACGGAGCAACGCCGCGUGAGUGAUGAAGGUCUUCGGAUCGUAAAACUCUGUUAUUAGGGAAGAACAUAUGUGUAAGUAACUGUGCACAUCUUGACGGUACCUAAUCAGAAAGCCACGGCUAACUACGUGCCAGCAGCCGCGGUAAUACCUAGGUGGCAAGCGUUAUCCGGAAUUAUUGGGCGUAAAGCGCGCGUAGGCGGUUUUUUAAGUCUGAUGUGAAAGCCCACGGCUCAACCGUGGAGGGUCAUUGGAAACUGGAAAACUUGAGUGCAGAAGAGGAAAGUGGAAUUCCAUGUGUAGCGGUGAAAUGCGCAGAGAUAUGGAGGAACACCAGUGGCGAAGGCGACUUUCUGGUCUGUAACUGACGUUGAUUGCGAGAGAUUUAGG